rnacentral:lncRNA from 13 species
ACCUAGUAUCUGUAUAUACUCUCACAACUUAGUAUCUGUCUGUACUCUCACAACUUAGUAUCUGUAUAUAGUCUCACAACCUAGUAUCUGUAUAUACUCUCACAACUUAGUAUCUGUCUGUACUCUCACAACUUAGUAUCUGUCUGUACUCUCACAACCUAGUAUCUGUAUAUACGCUCACAACCUAGUAUCUGUAUAUAGUCUCACAACUUAGUAUCUGU